ACACGUAGGGGCCUGACGUUGUUCGGAAUCAUUGGGCGUAAAGGGCGCGCAGGCGGCCGUCCAAGUCUGGUGUUAAAUGGUCGGGCUCAACCCGAUCAUGCGCUGGAAACUGGGCGGCUUGAGUCCCGUAGGGGAUGCCGGAAUUCCAGGUGUAGGGGUGAAAUCUGUAGAUAUCUGGAAGAACACCGAUGGCGAAGGCAGGCAUCUGGCCGGAGACUGACGCUGAGGCGCGAAGGCGCGGGGAGCGAACAGGUUUAGAUACCCUGGUAGUCCGCGCAGUAAACGAUGCGCACCAGGUGUCGGGCGGCAGCGCCCGGUACCGGAGCUAACGCGAUGAGUGCGCCGCCUGGGGAGUAUGCCCGCAAGGGUGAAACUCAAAUGAAUUGACGGGG
rnacentral:rRNA from 1 species